UACGUAGGGUGCGAGCGUUGUCCGGAAUUACUGGGCGUAAAGAGCUCGUAGGUGGUUUGUCGCGUUGUUCGUGAAAACCGGGGGCUUAACCCUCGGCGUGCGGGCGAUACGGGCAGACUUGAGUACUGCAGGGGAGACUGGAAUUCCUGGUGUAGCGGUGGAAUGCGCAGAUAUCAGGAGGAACACCGGUGGCGAAGGCGGGUCUCUGGGCCUUACCUGACGCUGAGGAGCGAAAGCGUGGGUAGCGAACAGG
rnacentral:rRNA from 1 species